rnacentral:rRNA from 1 species
AUUGAACGCUGGCGGCAGGCCUAACACAUUCAAGUCGAGCGGAUGAAGGGAGCUUGCUCCUGGAUUCAGCGGCGGACGGGUGAGUAAUGCCUAGGAAUCUGCCUGGUAGUGGGGGAUAACGUCCGGAAACGGGCGCUAAUACCGCAUACGUCCUGAGGGAGAAAGUGGGGGAUCUUCGGACCUCACGCUAUCAGAUGAGCCUAGGUCGGAUUAGCUAGUUGGUGGGGUAAAGGCCUACCAAGGCGACGAUCCGUAACUGGUCUGAGAGGAUGAUCAGUCACACUGGAACUGAGACACGGUCCAGACUCCUACGGGAGGCAGCAGUGGGGAAUAUUGGACAAUGGGCGAAAGCCUGAUCCAGCCAUGCCGCGUGUGUGAAGAAGGUCUUCGGAUUGUAAAGCACUUUAAGUUGGGAGGAAGAGCAGUAAGUUAAUACCUUGCUGUUUUGACGUUACCAACAGAAUAAGCACCGGCUAACUUCGUG